AUGGCAGCAAGCACAGGGGCUUCAGGAUGGCUAAGUGGCAAGGUGAAGGCUGUGACAUCUGGAGACUGCCUUCUCAUCAUGGGGAGCACAAAGGCAGAGAUUCCACCAGAGAAGUCCAUCACUCUGUCACACCUAAUGGCCCCAAGGCUGGCUCGUCGUGGUGGAGUGGAUGAGCCAUUUGCUUGGGAAAGCAGGGAGUAUCUGAGGAAACUCUGCGUAGGAAAGGAGGUCACAUUUAGAGUGGAUUACACUGCUCCUAACAUCGGACGAGUAUUUGGCACUGUCUACCUUGGCGACAAGAUCGUUGCCUACUUGGUGGUUGCUGCAGGAUGGGCAAGGGAACCUGGUGCUGCCGAAGAUUCGAUAAAAGAUCUUCCACCUUCAGCAAUUGGCGAACUAAGUGGUUUUGAUGCAAAGGGUUUUGCAGUUGCAAAUAAAGGCAAGAGUCUGGAAGCCAAAUUUGACCUAAAUCUCUAUUCAUAUGAUGGCUGGCGGCGGAUCUGUGAUACCUGGAGUGAGUGUAUCUGGCGGCGGAUCCUGGACGUCUCCGGUGAUGGGUCCUGGAAGGGAUCGGUGCCGGAUCCUGGAAGCGAUCAGCGGAGGGUCCUGCACGGGACCCGGGCCGGAUCUAAUGGAUGUGCGAGUUACGCGCCGGCGGUUUUGAUGUGCCAGGGCGGCAGUGCAUGGAUGGAUGGGUGGCGAUUUGACCUAAAUCUCUAUUCAUAUGAUGGCUGGCGGCGGAUCUGUGAUACCUGGAGUGAGUGUAUCUGGCGGCGGAUCCUGGACGUCUCCGGUGAUGGGUCCUGGAAGGGAUCGGUGCCGGAUCCUGGAAGCGAUCAGCGGAGGGUCCUGCACGGGACCCGGGCCGGAUCUAAUGGAUGUGCGAGUUACGCGCCGGCGGUUUUGAUGUGCCAGGGCGGCAGUGCAUGGAUGGAUGGGUGGCGGUGA
rnacentral:rRNA from 1 species